AUUCCAGCUCCAAUAGCGUAUAUUAAAGUUGUUGCAGUUAAUUAGCUCGUUGUUGGUUUUCUUUCUUUCUUCCCCCUCCCUCCUCUUCUUUUUCCUGCGCGUCUCCCCCUCCUUCUGUUAACCCUUAAGGUUUUAACGACCUUCUGGGGGCUCAGAUAUUUCACCUUGAGAAAAUUAGAGUGUUUCAGGCAGGCUAGCGCCGGGAUACAUUAGCAUGGAAUAAUGGAGUAGGACUUUUUCCUCUUCUGUUGGUCUGAGGGGUUCGAGUAAUGAUUAAUAGGGGUAGUUGGGGGCAUUAGUACUUUGCUGUCAGAGGUGAAAUUCUUAGAUUUCCGGAAGACGAACUACUGCGAAAGCAUUUACCAAGGAUGUUUUCAUUG
rnacentral:rRNA from 1 species